CCUAUGGGGCGCAGCAGGCGCGAAAACUCCGCAAUGCGCGCAAGCGUGACGGGGGGACCCCAAGUGCCGUUGGUCUUUUGAUCGACGGCUUUUCGGAAGU
rnacentral:rRNA from 1 species